GACGAACGCUGGCGGCGUGCUUAACACAUGCAAGUCGAACGGAAAGGCCCCCUUGUGGGGUACUCGAGUGGCGAACGGGUGAGUAACACGUGAGUAACCUACCCUUGACUUUGGGAUAACUUCAGGAAACUGGGGCUAAUACCGGAUAGGAGCUCCUGCUGCAUGGCGGGGGUUGGAAAGUUUCGGCGGUUGGGGAUGGACUCGCGGCUUAUCAGCUUGUUGGUGGGGUAGUGGCUCACCAAGGCUUUGACGGGUAGCCGGCCUGAGAGGGUGACCGGCCACAUUGGGACUGAGAUACGGCCCAGACUCCUACGGGAGGCAGCAGUGGGGAAUAUUGCACAAUGGGCGGAAGCCUGAUGCAGCAACGCCGCGUGCGGGAUGACUGCCUUCGGGUUGUAAACCGCUUUCGCCUGUGACGAAGCGUGAGUGACGGUAAUGGGUAAAGAAGCACCGGCUAACUACGUG
rnacentral:rRNA from 1 species